rnacentral:rRNA from 1 species
UGCUAGUCGCACGAGUUCAGACUCGUGGCGAAUAGCUCAGUAACACGUGGCCAAACUACCCUUCGGAGCUCCAUACCCUCGGGAAACUGAGGCUAAUAGAGCAUACCACAAUCCAGCUGGAAUGAGGAUUGUGUCAAACGCUCCGGCGCCGAAGGAUGUGGCUGCGGCCGAUUAGGUAGACGGUGGGGUAACGGCCCACCGUGCCAAUAAUCGGUACGGGUCAUGAGAGUGAGAACCCGGAGACGGAAUCUGAGACAAGAUUCCGGGCCCUACGGGGCGCAGCAGGCGCGAAACCUUUACACUGCACGCCAGUGCGAUAAGGGGAUCCCAAGUGCGCAGGCAUAGAGCCUGCGCUUUUGUACACCGUAGGGAGGUGUACGAAUAAGGGCUGGGCAAGACCGGUGCCAGCCGCCGCGGUAAUACCGGCAGCCCGAGUGAUGGCCGAUUUUAUUGGGCCUAAAGCGUCCGUAGCUGGCCGCGCAAGUCCAUCGGAAAAUCCACCCGCCCAACGGGUGGGCGUCCGGUGGAAACUGCGUGGCUUGGGACCGGAAGGCGCGACGGGUACGUCCGGGGUAGGAGUGAAAUCCCGUAAUCCUGGACGGACCGCCGAUGGCGAAAGCACGUCGCGAGGACGGAUCCGACAGUGAGGGACGAAAGCCAGGGUCUCGAACCGGAUUAGAUACCCGGGUAGUCCUGGCCGUAAACAAUGUCUGUUAGGUGUGGCUCCCACUACGAGUGGGUGCUGUGCCGUAGGGAAGCCGCUAAACAGACCGCCUGGGAAGUACGUCCGCAAGGAUGAA